CCUACGGGUGGCAGCAGUGGGGAAUAUUGGACAAUGGGGGCAACUCUGAUCCAGCGACGCCGCGUGGGUGAAGAAGGCCUGCGGGUUGUAAAGCCCUUUCGGUGGGGAAGAAAAGUCUCGGCCUAAUACGCUGGGACCUUGACGUAACCCACUAAAGAAGCACCGGCUAACUCUGUGCCAGCAGCCGCGGUAAUACAGAGGGUGCGAGCGUUAAUCGGAAUUACUGGGCGUAAAGCGCGCGUAGGCGGCUUUGCAAGCCGGAUGUGAAAUCCCCGGGCUUAACCUGGGAACUGCAUUCGGGACUGCAUUGCUAGAGUAUGGGAGAGGGAAGUGGAAUUUCAGGUGUAGCGGUGAAAUGCGUAGAUAUCUGAAGGAACAUCAGUGGCGAAAGCGACUUCCUGGACCAAUACUGACGCUCAUGUGCGAAAGCGUGGGGAGCA
rnacentral:rRNA from 1 species